GGAUUUAAUCAUAAGCAUGUUUUACCAAAGUAAUGAUGUUAACGUUUUACCGGCUGCAAUUGACCGGCUGUUGAAACCGCAACACGGCCAACUACAUUCUACGUAGGAAUCCGGCAGAUAGUUCUGACAAGACAUUACAUGUUAUUCAUUGCAUGUGAUUACCAAAGGGGGACAAGAGAGCCCUCACCAUGGAGCAUCUUUCAUUUAAUUUAGAGCUUUGUUGAAUUUCAAAACAACAAUUACUCUCUUUAUUUGGUGUCACAAAGGUUAAAGUGUAAAACCGCAGGAUCGAAUUGGCAGUGAAAAACGUGGGAUAUGUGAAUGAGUGAUUCAGUUCUGAGGUUCGAGAUCUCCAUUGUGUUUCCCACAAGUAAUAAAUACAUAUUUUCGCAAAAAUUAUCGCUAUUUUGGUAACCUUGACAUGUUGUCCAGUCGGAAGGGACGUCAAAUACAGUAAUACGUCGGUGUUGAUGUGGAAGCACGCAUCUAACGAGGCAAGCGGUGGCAUCGACAAAUAACCUCUCUCUUCUUCAACACGGCUAAAGUUGAUUAUCAAGUAAAUUAAAGCAAUGGAUGCUUACAAACAGAGAAUUAUCCUAUCUUUGGUUUUAGUUAUUGGAGUAGAAUUGUGUUGGUCAAAUCCAUGGGAUGGAAUGGCUGUCUAUUGUAAUAGGGAAAGCUACAAAGUAAAAGUUAGCAAGCCAGGAUGUGUACAGGAGAGUUUUCAAACCGAGGCUUGCCUCGGAAUCUGCAGGUCGUACGUAAAACUGAUCAGUCACCAUCCUUAUGUGCAGAACUUAUGCCAGUGUUGCAAAGCUACACGUACUGUUAAGAAGCAAUUUUCCCUUAGUAGCUGUGACCAAGGCGUGGACCCCACGGUAUUCGUCGAUUCAGCAGAAGAAUGUGCUUGUCAUACAAUUAGUUGUUUAUAAUUUACCUUUAAUUAUUUCUUUUGCUUUUCUAAAUAAACGAGACAAGAAAGGGUGGGGAUCAAACACUAGGCACUACUGAUCAAAAAUUUGAUUUCAAACUUUCAAUCAAACAUUUUCGCAGUCUCUGUUCAUACUGUCUCUGGAAGAUGGGCAUCUCCUUUUGAAUUUUGCCUCAAGAAAAAAAGUGAGCGAAGGCUAACCUAUGCAUGCGUCAACUAUUUUCAAUCGACCCUUUCUACAGCAAGAUUCAAAUAAGGAAAAUUAAAGGGGAGGGACCUCAUGUUAGGCCUACCUUCGACAAAAAUGAAUCAUGUUUCAAAUUAGUGCAAGUUAGAAGAGAAAAAUUUGGGAAUGUGACAACUCUAGCCGUCGAGUCUGCACCCAGGCUAGACAACUCCAAUAAUUUGGCCGCAGGGCUUAUGGGGAUAGUUAUCACUACAGAUCUCUGAGUGGUCCUUCACUUGUGUCAACCCUUUCACUUUGACGAACCCAUGAAUCUCGAAUCAUUAAAAACAGUGACAAUAUUUUUUGUGACAUAGAUUUUGAUACCUUUUUAGAUAUGUAUUGUCAUUCUUUCGUUCAAAUUAUUAACAAAAUUCUUUUGAUGUAGUAUUUGAAAUAUCAAACAUGCUAUUUGUUCCUUGUUAGGGUAAAUUGAAACAGAUAUGUAUGAGCGUAAUGACAUCUCGUAGAUUAGGUGGGAUAUUUUGCUGAAAUUUGAAACUUGCUCAAAAGUGCCCGGGGUUUUUUCAUUAGCAAUACAGUUAACAACUAUUAAUCAUUUUUGUAUUAAUUCCUAUCACCUUUUUAAUCAUACUCAGGCAAUCCUUUCUCUAAUUUUUCGAAACCAAUCAAAAUUUAUUUCAUGAUAAGUAUUUAUUCUAUAAGUAUUAUGAAUUAAUUCUCAUAAGCCAAAAGUAUGGUAGUUUUAACAGCGCAAUCAGAAAUAAGCUACGCUCAUCAUACCUAGUAACAACGUUAAUAUUGGGAUAUUUAUGGUAUAAACAUCUUGAUGUCAAUGUCAAAUUUAUAAAGCCACGUCAUGAGAGACAGUGACUACAUGAACUCACUAUUCUCUUUAUAUGUUACAAAUCUCCGAUGUAGCCUAUUAUAAACCAAAGUAACAAACUUUUACAGAGUAUCAACUCUAAAGGCGUUCUGAAACUCGAGUCCUGAUUAAUCAAUUCAUAUAAGGUGUAAAAACCAAAUAUAAUAUGUAUUGCUUUAAGUAAGUGAUAUUGCUGAAGAUUUAUGAAUUUUAUUUGAAGCCUAUAAGUUGUUGUGUUUUAUUCCUUGUUUGCCUGAUUCUUGAUAAAAAAACUAUGCCUCUAGCAACGUUUGUGCGAAUAAACAAUUCGAUCAAUCAGGUUUUUGCUUGAAUGAUGAUUCUCAUAAAUAUUUCAGUCCAGUCAUUUCGCAAUGAAACCCCUAUAUCUUUAAUUAGCGUGUCGUCAUCAUACGAUGGUUUUACUGUGAGAAUGCGAAGUAUCGAAGCCUAGUUUUUUAGAAAAUACAAUAUUUCCCAGGUGAUGGCUUAUGCAGUAUAGGCAGAACUGUACACGCUUUAAAGUGCCGCUGAAAUGAAAAAAUCAAAAUUUGGUUUUUUCAUUUUGAGCCCAUAAAUAGGGAUUUCUGGGGGGUUUUUGCGGGCAGGUCGUGCGAAAUAAGGCUGGGGCGAGUGACGUAUUAAGAUUUACAUAGUCAGUUCAGCCAUAGUGAGGGCUGUAAGAAGAUAAAAAGUCACCAAUUGUAUAAAACGUGAUACCAGCAUAGAACUUUUACAGAGUAGGGUACUAGGGUUCCGAACUUCCAAGCAGUGAUUGUCAUAAUUUAGCCCUUAGAUCGCGAUACCAGCAUGGAACUUGGUAGUAAUAGGCAGUUUGAUACGCUGAAAAAGGUUGGAUCGGAAUAGACACCGAAAAAUAUCCCCUUGUGCUAUUUAUAGACUGGGGUACUAGGUUCCAGGCCUCUAAGUAGUUAUUGUCUUAAUUUAACUUUUUGAUCGCGAUACCACGACAAUGAUGCGACUACGAUAACUAGGGACGCCGAGAGGUUCUGCAGACCCCGGGGCGAAUCGCAAAGACAAGGCCAACACGGAAAGGCGAAAGAAUUUUAGAUUAGCAUAAAUUGAUUCUUUCUUGCAAACGUUUAAAAAGUUUUACUCUUUAGGGUAUAAUUUUGUUGCUUUUAAUCGAUUCCAUAUAAAAAUGGAUUUCAUUACAUUUGAGGCCCCCUGACCAUGAGGCCCUGAGGCAAUUUAUCCCCUCUUGACGGUCCUGGCGAUAACUGAUGCUUUGAGGGUGGCAACGCAAGUUGGAAAGUGGGGAAAGAGCCCUAAAAUGUGCAAUUUGUGUGGAUCUAUAAUAUAAAAACCUUUCCCUUGGUCAAUUUGCUCCAUAGAAUCAAAUUGUGCGCUAAUGACUUUUACUCAUAAUUUGUAUAGCUGUUCGCAAAAGCAUUCUUAUUCGACGCUCGAUAAUUCACUAAAGGCAAAUGAUCGGCGCGAGGUCUUGGCACAAACUGAACUCAAAAAGUUUGCUUAUUUCGUAUGGGCUCGAAAUUUUUGCAAGAAAAUACCUUGCAUAUGCCUUGUAGUUAGAUAGCUAGUGAUAUUUAGAGCACAAAUAUCGCACUAUUUCCACCCACUUCGUGAUUUUUUGGUUUUUAUCGCACUCGAAAUACAGUGUUCAGUACUGAAGCCCGCAUCACUUCCGCGAUUUGUAAAUCUUCCGCGCACAGAUUUUUGCACGAAAAGUCUUGAAAAUCGCGACUUUGAAUCGUUGUAGCUUCAAAACAGUUAACAGUUCCGAAAAAAGAACUUCACUAUCGGAUUCAGGAGCAAAGACUUGACAGGGAACUUUAAGUGUAUAGAACAUGACAGCUCUAAGUUGCUACUCCGAGUUUCCCCGCUAUCUAAACUAAUUUUUAUACUCUUACAUUUACUACCUUAACGGAUAUACCUUCACUUACAUUCACACCCCCUAUUUUAUUUGAGUUCAAUCUCUAUACCCAACUAUAAAUUCAAAUAACUGGCAAACCAUUGUGAAUACCAUAGACAUAGGAACAAGGGGGCGCAGAAGGCAGGUACCCCCACUUUUCCGAAACAUAGGUAAAAUAUUCACUUGAAGCUCACGGAAGUGCCCCUUUUUGACUACAUGUGACCCAUCCCCCAUAUUUUAAAUGCUCCUUACGUCUAUUGUGGAUACUUUUAGAAUGCAAGCCCAGUAUCUGAACACGGGGUAGUAUGGAAGAUGGCCAUGGUUCCUUACUUUUUUUAUAAAAUAGUAGAGAGCUUUUGCAAAAUCAUUUAUAAUGGUUCUCAAAUUUGACCUCCCCCCAACUUUCCAGCUACUGUCGGAGCCCCUGAUUUGCUGUUUUUUUCCUCAUUAUAAUAUAUUCUUUUCCAAUGAAUCCUACAUCCUAUAGUUGCUGCUAAAUCUGCUUUUGGACUAUUCAAGUCCCAAAUUUCAUUUUUUUUUUCCAAUUCUUUUUCUUCCCAACAAAUUCAAUAUGCAUAUUACUAUUAGCUUCCUCUAGCUAGAACACAUUAUUAAACAACACACAGCAAAAAAAAGGUAACAAGGAACAGUGUCUUGUUUUUCUGAUCAACAAAGAACAAUCACAUCGUCAUUUUCGUUUUGCAUUUAAUCUCUUCAAAAUGUGUAUAUGAAACACCCAGAAAUGGGGAGAAGGGGUUAGUUGAAAUCCUAAGUCAGAUCACAAGACAAGCUCAAAUACUCAAGCUAUGCUUAUGUCCUUAUCCCCAAACACAACAAGUGAUAAAAUCGCAGCAAUUCAUUAAAGAUUAAAUUGUAUAGGUUUUAAGACCAAUUGAAUGACAAAGUACAGGAUUUGGACGUAUGAUUCAAUUUCAUCCCGUGGGUCUCUGAUGAUAAUCUGCAACUACUUGCUUUGCCUUAUUCUUUCGGGGGAGGCUUUCAAAAACCCUUUCAAAAAUUGCCGUCGCAUCCCACUACGUCUGGUAAACAAAACAAAGAUUAAGAGUGGAGGUGGAUUUUCCAAUAAUUAUGCAUAUUGUUGGGCAGCAAAGUAACCAAAAUCAAACUGGAGCUGUUUACGAGAUUUGCAAGGGAAGGAAGAUACUACAAAGAUAGCAAAACGCUUGACGGGGAAAAGUCAAUAUGCUUUUGGUUCUGUUGAUUGCAGUCGUGACAGUUGUCAAUGGUUCAGAAAGUCAAUGGGACAGACUACAAAUGAAAAGGUUUUGUCGACCAUCAACGUAUAUUCUAACUGUUAACAAAGAGGGCUGCGAGCAAGAGGCUGUAACAGUUAACGCAUGUCUAGGUGUUUGUCCGUCAUAUGUCGAAGUUAUAUGGCAAGAGCCUUUUUUUAAAAAUAACUGCCAAUGCUGUAAAGCUACCGAUGUUGUCACAAGAAAAUUUAUACUGAAAAACUGCAAAAAAUCAGUUGAUCGAGAGGUAUUCGUGCAAAGUGUAAAGUCGUGUUCCUGCCAGGAGACACCUUGUAGUUAGGCAAUUGCCAACUACAUUGAAAAUACUGUUUAAAAUUUAAAUCGCUGAGGACAUUUAAUUAGCUUGAUUUUUCCUCUGAUAGCUUUGUAAAUUUUGAUUCUAUUGAAUUUAAUAAUAGGUUGCGCUUUAAUUAAUAUUGUUUUGAUGGUUAUGUUUUAAGAUUUA